CCUGGGGCAGCUCCCUGCAGGCUUCAAGAGCCUCAGUGCCCUCAGGUCCCCAUUCCGGUGGUGCAGAGCUGGGCUCACAGCUGGGAUCCCUUCUGCCACCCCGGGGACAUUCCGUCCUUCUCCGUGCCUCAGUUUCCCCACCUAUAACACAGCUCAGGACCUGCAAACGGCAAAGCAGAGCUCAGCAGAGCAGAGCUCAGAGCUCAGCAUCACUGGAUGGAGGAACCCAUGGUUGGAUCAUUUAAGUAGGAAAGGAGGGCAUUUAAAUACAGGAAAAAAAAACAAUGGAAUGUGAAAAGGGGAAAAAAAAGUCUCCAGAUGUUAAAUUGGCUGGGAUAAGUCUUGUGAAAGGCUGCAAUGAAGAGAACCAUUCGACUCAGAGCAACACUUGUUCCAACCUCCAAACUGCAAUUUUUCUGCUGUCUCAAACUCUGAUUCUAGGGAAGCAAAACAACCCCCAAAUUGCACCCAAAGAGGGGAGAGCUGUUUCCAGCCCCGAAGUUGUCUUAGAAGAGGGAUGAUGGGGACCUGUGACCAGAUCAGAGCUUUGCAGCACAUGCACAUCCUCAUACAUGCGGGGAGAAGUGCAAGAAUGAAGGGUACCCAGUACAUGUAAAACCAUCCUUGCAAAGCUGCAAUACCCACAGGCAUGGGAAGGGCUGCAAAAUACAGAAGCAGGGGGAGCAGUUUGGGCACAUGGAGGCUUCCCAGGGAACCACUGCCCUGCAAAUAGAAUAAACUGAAUGACGUUUGGUUGUUGAAAGCAUCUCCACUUUGUGCAGUGCUCCCAGUUUGACCCUCACCCUAAAUACCCCCAGAAAGCUGUACCCCACUUCCAGACUGGGGGCUGCAUGGGAAGCCUGGAGAUGGCACAGGGCUGUGUGUUAUUUCAAUGCCAGAGGUUGUUUUCUUGUUUUCCAGGUGCAGUGCAGGGAGCUGCAAGCUGCAAGAGGAGAAUUGCUUGUUGAUUUUGUGGCCAUUAUAAAUUCAUGGAAAAUUCAGAGGUUUUGAGCCAGGGGACAGCAGAGGAGGAGAGGGGAGGAAAAGCACUGAAAGCUGAACAGUGCCAUUUGGGUGCUUUAUCCCCCCCCCCAAAAUAAAACCCCUUUCCUAUGGUGAAAAUAUCAUCUUUUCCAAACUGCCCGUUUGUGGUUGCACAGAAAGGCUUGGAUAUUUGCUAUCUGAUGUAAAUCCAUUUUUUCCCUGGGGUUCCCUUGUCCCUGGUGCACACAGAGCCAAGGAAAUGUUCCCUCUGUCCCCUUCCCACCUCCUCAUGGCAAACCACGCAGCCGCCUCGCAGGCAGCUCUCUGCAGGCUCCCCUUC
rnacentral:lncRNA from 1 species